GGUGGUGGGCGGGGAGGACCUGCCAGAAGCAGAGGUGUAGCGGCAUCCCUUUGGGGUUACGGUCCGCCGCGGAGAUUUGCUGCUGGGGAUAUGAAUUAUUCUCCCCUGGACUUAAAUCACUGCCCAUUGCCAUGAGAAGUUCCCUGAGGUGUCACUUUGCAGACAACACUGCUGCGUGAUGGUGUGUAGCGUUUCCAGCCGAGGUUGGUGAAGGAGGGCAAACCAAGGAGGCUGUGCUGGUGACAGUCCCCCGGCCCUGUGUGCUGCCUUAUUGGCCUUGCUGACUGCUGGCCGUGGUGGUACCACAUGUGCUUUCUUCUCUGACCUCGUCUUCUGACAUUUUGCUCUACAGGUCAUGUGAGGCAGGGUGACAAUUUGGACUUGUGGUUUAAUGUAUUUUCAGUUUCCAUAAUGUCAUUUCUCCAUUUUGGUUGGCCUAGUAGUGUCCUUCUAAAAACUGGGAAGGUUUUGGUUUGGGGUCUUUGUUAUUGAUUUUGAGGCUAUUUUGUGUUGGUUUUCCCCCAGUUUUUGUUAGCUGUAGUUGUGAACUUGUGUUUGUGGCUGGAUAAGAGAUUUGGUGCACACUCACCUGUUUUGAUUUUUUUUUCCAAUAUUUACAUUACACUUACAAGUUCUGUGGAAAGGCUAUUUUCCACAAGAACACAAUAACAGCCAAUUUCUCCUACCCAGGGGAUGGAAUUGGCUGCAUUGCUGUGCUCCUCAGCAUCUGGGUUGUUCUGUCUCUAUUAUUGUGACAUCAGUGCCCGUUGCCAUGAGAGCUGUCCCGAGCAGAGCUCUGCAGCGAGUGUUACUCACAGGUGUGUAACAUUUCCCUCUGAAACUGCUGACCCGAAGGAUGAGCUGCAGAGAGUCUGAUGGACACCGUGCAUGGGAUGCCAUCUGUGGAAAGGCUGCACAGAAGAUAGAAGGAUGGAAGCAGAAGAGAGGGGAGGCAACGACAAGGCACAGUGAGGGAAGAAAGAAAACAAAGAGAAAAGAAGAGCAAAAGGAAGAGAAAAGAAGGGGGGAAAAAAAAGGGAAGGAUAUGAAGAAAUCAGUGCAGAGAAGGUGGAGACCUAUUCGCAGUCGACUUAUUCAUUGUGAGCACUUGGAAAAUGUUUUAGAAAAGGGG